AGGGUGUUGGUCGAUUAAGACAGCAGGA
rnacentral:snRNA from 1 species